CCCACCAUGGUGCACGACUAAGGUUGAACCUCCACUCGAUUGCGUUGUCAGCCAGGAAUGCGUUCAACUUCUCGUCCUUUUGUGCUUUCUUCAGCCAUUUGUCGGCAGCCUUAAAGGUCUUCGCGUUGUCGGAAUAUAUAAUCUUCGGGCGACCACGUCUUGCGAUGAGCCUUUUCAGACUUGGCAUGAACUCCGCAACUUCCAGUGACCGUAAGAUCUCGAGAUGCACUGCACGCGUCAAACUGCAGCCAUAAAGCACCAGGUAUGCCUUCUUCUCCGCCUUUGCUUUAGUCCGGUAGCGUAUUGGACCCGCAAAAUCUACUCCAAUGACUUGGAACGGGGUUGAACCUUGCGUUCUCGUGAUUGGCAGCUUCCCAGGUGGAGGUUUCUUAUAUGCUUGAGCUCUAAAUCUCACGCACCCGUAACAAUCUUUCCGCACUUGCUUCACCAACCGUCGCAGUUUUGGAAUCCAAAAUCGCUCACGUACUUUUGCCAUGACCAUAGCGACACCACCGUGGAGGGUUACUAGAUGUGCUCGUUCGACUACUUUCUUGGCUAAGGUGGAACUGCGAGGCAAGUACACGGGGAAAUCUCCUUCAAUUCGACCGCGACAUUCGAGUACUCCGUUUCCGUUAAGCUGAAUGUUCAAUUGAAGUUGGAUGUCGUGGAAUUCAGGAUCUUCCUUGACUUCACUUUGCGUUCUUUUAAUCGCCCAAAGUUCACUUUCUUCGAUUUCUUCCGACGUUAACGGUCCUGUUUUCCGAUUUUCGCAGGAUACCUUACGAUUCUUUGCAAACCGGUUGAAUUGGGCACGAAUUUCACGACAGUUCGGCUUGCAUUUCCAUUCUCUUUUCAUGCAGUAUCAUUUCAUGCUUUAACUCUUCCUCGUGCGUCACAAACUUUUCGGCCUUUUUGGCCUCAGCAAGAAAAUGUUCUAGGUUUUGAAUAGCCGCGUCAGCGGGCUCAAAACUUUAAAUCUAAGUCAUCGUUCCAUUUUUUGAUUUCUGAAAGCUCUUCUUUGUUUGUGAUUUCAAAUGCCUCAACAGUGCGUCUGCACUCAUUGGCCUCGUUGGCCGUUGUUUGUAACGCGUCGAGGUGUCGCUUAAUUGCUACUCGCUUACCUGAGCUCAGCAAUGUUUUUGACUUCUCUGUUGCGAUUUCCAGCUGCGUUAGCUUCGUUUCGAGAUUCGUCAACUCUUUCCCGUCC